rnacentral:rRNA from 1 species
CUACGGGAGGCAGCAGUGAGGAAUAUUGGUCAAUGGGCGCAAGCCUGAACCAGCCACUCCGCGUGUAGGAUGACUGCCCUAUGGGUUGUAAACUACUUUUAUACAGGAAGAAACCUCCUUACGUGUAGGGAGCUGACUGUACUGUAAGAAUAAGCAUCGGCUAACUCCGUGCCAGCAGCCGCGGUAAUACGGAGGAUGCAAGCGUUAUCCGGAUUUAUUAGGUCUAAAGGGUUCGUAGGCGGAUGAUUAAGUCAGUGGUGAAAUCCUACAGCUUAACUGUAGAACUGCCAUUGAUACUGGUUGUCUUGAGUAUAGUUGAGGUAGGCGGAAUGUGUAGUGUAGCGGUGAAAUGCUUAGAUAUUACACAGAACAUCGAUUGCGAAGGCAGCUUACUAAGCUAUUACUGACGCUAAGGAACGAAAGCGUGGGGAGCGAACAGGAUUAGAUACCCCAGUAGUC